rnacentral:lncRNA from 1 species
UCCACCCCUGUCUCCAACUAGGCUCCUAUCCUCAGUCUACACCCGUCCUCGGUCUACACCUGUCCUCAGUCUGCACUGCUCAAUGCAGCAUCAGCCCUUGUUCCUGAUUUCGAGGCCUGUUUGGGUCCCGCUAUCUCCCAUGUCCCCUGCCUUCUCCCGGAAGCGUGAUGCUCUGACGUCACGCUGGCGUCUGGGGACCUUUGUGAGGCUAGGACCCUCUGCCUCUGACACCUUACUCUUCGGUGAGGGAGGAUGACCCUGCGGGUGCCCUGCCACACUGGGCUGGGUGGGAUCAGUCCGCCUCGUGGACAUCCAGCACAGUCACCUCUGUCCUGGGGACUGACCCCUCCUGAAUCUCUGCUGGAAAUGUGGACCCCGCACUAGAGGACUUGACUCUAUCCUAACUCCUCCAAACCUAACCGGGGUUUACGCCCAAGGUCUUUGGGACUCAGAGGCAAACAUGUGUCCGUUCGGUCAUGUCUCCCACCCACACGCCAUCCCCUCCGAGAGCGCCGCUCCGGAGCAGGCGCACGUACAAGAGAAGGCAAAUCUGGAGGCGCGGAAACCCUGGGCGGCAGCUCCCACUUGCCCUGCUGAAGCCAGACUAGAAGCUGCAGAUGAGGUACCGGGCCCACGCGCAUGCUGGGGAAGGCCCAACACAAAGCAGCAGCAGCAAGCAAGGAGCAGAGUCUUGCAGUGGGAGAGAAGGAAGCAGGACACCUGGGUGCUAAGCCCAGCUCUGCAACCCCGAGCACUCACAGCCCCAUGUGCAAGGGGAUGGACUGAAGCAGGGCGGUGGGGCCAGUGGCUGAUCAUUAGACUCCCUCGUAGAAUAGCGACAACAAAAAGGUUCCUGGGCUAUCUAUCCACCUCAGACCUACUGAGUCAGAAUCUCCAGGGCUGGUGCCCAGGGAAUCUGUAUAUUUCAAAGCUUUCCGGAAGAUUCUUGAGGUCUGUCGGGACCAAGAAUCACUGGACACCAUAG